GAUUAGUGGCGACGGGUGAGUAACACGUGGGCAAUCUGCCCUUCACUCUGGGACAAGCCCUGGAAACGGGGUCUAAUACCGGAUACGACUGCGGGAGGCAUCUCCUGUGGUGGAAAGCUCCGGCGGUGAAGGAUGAGCCCGCGGCCUAUCAGCUUGUUGGUGGGGUAAUGGCCUACCAAGGCGACGACGGGUAGCCGGCCUGAGAGGGCGACCGGCCACACUGGGACUGAGACACGGCCCAGACUCCUACGGGAGGCAGCAGUGGGGAAUAUUGCACAAUGGGCGAAAGCCUGAUGCAGCGACGCCGCGUGAGGGAUGACGGCCUUCGGGUUGUAAACCUCUUUCAGCAGGGAAGAAGCGAAAGUGACGGUACCUGCAGAAGAAGCGCCGGCUAACUACGUGCCAGCAGCCGCGGUAAUACGUAGGGCGCAAGCGUUGUCCGGAAUUAUUGGGCGUAAAGAGCUCGUAGGCGGCUUGUCACGUCGGGUGUGAAAGCCCGGGGCUUAACCCCGGGUCUGCAUCCGAUACGGGCAGGCUAGAGUGUGGUAGGGGAGAUCGGAAUUCCUGGUGUAGCGGUGAAAUGCGCAGAUAUCAGGAGGAACACCGGUGGCGAAGGCGGAUCUCUGGGCCAUUACUGACGCUGAGGAGCGAAAGCGUGGGGAGCGAACAGGAUUAGAUACCCUGGUAGUCCACGCCGUAAACGUUGGGAACUAGGUGUUGGCGACAUUCCACGUCGUCGGUGCCGCAGCUAACGCAUUAAGUUCCCCGCCUGGGGGAGUACGGCGCAGGCUAAACUCAAAGGAUUGACGG
rnacentral:rRNA from 1 species